ACAGGGGGGUGGGGACCUGCCCAGGUGCCUGGGGGCACUGUCAGAGCACCACGUGCCAAGGAACACGUGGGAGCGGGGUGGCAGGGAGAGGCUGCUCCUGGGGCCUUGGCUUGCAGUGUGUCACCAGGAAGGUGUUCAGUUAGAGGAAGACAAAGGGGAGGACAGGCUGGGGACAGUGGACGGGGGCAUUGCCGCUCUGUCAUCACUGGGUCCACCUUUGAGGGGCUGGGAAGACCAGGGCCCCCCGAAUCCGGGGCUCGGCUCCACAUCCUGCCCACCAGCCUGCCAGGGAUGGACCAAACUCCAGGAGGCCCCGACACGUGAAGGAAACAGUGGUCGGAAGAGCAGGCACCCAGCUCAGGGCACUGGCAGGCAGGGCCCCGGGACUGCUUCUCCACCAGCUGCUGUGAGUGAGCCUGGUGGCCUACCCCUGCUGUCCUGGCCAGGUCGAAUUUUUGGAUGUGCCUUGGAACAACUAGGCAGCAUGUGCACACACACGCACGCACGCACAUCACACACAUCACACAUGCAUGCACACACAUCACACUCACACACAAUCAUACCACACACACAUGCACACACAUCACACACAAUCAUACCACACACGCAUGCACACACAUCACACACAGUCAUACCACACACACAUGCACACACAUCACACACAGUCAUACCACACACACAUGCACACACAUCACACACAAUCAUACUACACACACAUGCACACACAUGCACACACAUCACACACAAUCAUACCACACACGCAUGCACACACAUCACACAUAAUCAUACCACACACGCAUGCACACACAUCACACACAAUCAUACCACACACGCAUGCAGACACAACACGUACACAUGCAUGCAUGCAUGUGUAUCACACACAUUACACCACAUAUCACACAUGCACACACAACACACAUCAUGUACACACACGCCACAUACCACACACACAAACAUUAUGCACAUAUGCAUCCCACACAUGCCUCACACACACAACGUACCACACACACACACACACACACUGUGGUGAUAAAAUACAUGGGCAUGGCAUUCAGGCAGAGAUUGGUUCCAUCCCUGUUCCAUUUUUUUUUUUUUUUUCGGAGAUGGAGUCUCGCACUGUCACCCUGGCUGGAGUGCAGUGGCGUGAUCUUGGCUCACUGCAACCUCUGCCUCCCAGGUUCAUGUAAUUCUCCUGCCUCAGCCUCCCAAGUAGCUGGGAUUACAGGUGCCCCCCACCAUGCCCAGCUAAUUUUUUGUAUUUGUAGUAGAGAUGGGGUUUCACUAUGUUGGCCAGGCUGGUCUUGACCUCCUGACCUCGUGCCCACCUCAGCAUCCCAAAGUGCUGGGAUUACAGGCGUGAGCCACCACAUCCAGCCUCCUGUACCAUUAUUUUACUAGCUGUGAAUUUGGGCAAGUUACUGGUGCUCUCUGACCCUCAGUCUUUUUAUCUGCAGAAUGGGGUUACUCAAGGCACCUACUUUCUGAAAUUGUUGGAGAGUCCUUGAGCUCAGGGGGCGAGGAGGACAGAGUUUUGUGAGGCACUAUUCACCUUUCAGUGGAAACAUUUUUAAUUUUGUUUCUGUCCUGGGGGAGGAGGAGAGA
rnacentral:lncRNA from 1 species